rfam:Picea glauca, whole genome shotgun sequence.
ACAUGCGUACAACAUAACAUUAAUGCAACAGAUCCCAUUAGAACUCUGUAGUUAAGCACGCUCAGGCUAGAGUAGUAAUGGGAUGGUUGAUCGCCCUGGAAGUCCUAGUGUUUUACAUGCC